rnacentral:lncRNA from 1 species
CGAAAUGAGGAACUCAAAAGUCACGUGUAAAGAAAAAUCUCAGUGUAGUGAUAUUGGACAUGUUUCUAUUUUUAACAAAUGACUGAACUUAAUUAUUUGUGGUGAUUAGGAAAGUAGAGGAACAUAGAAUAAAUGUGUAAAAACUAUGGAGCUAUUGAAUGUGUUCAAAGUAUUAAAUUUUCAAAGAACUUAUUGUGUUAAAAAGGGGAUAUUUUACCACAAGGAGCCGCAUCACAAAAGGAUGUUCGGGUUUGCUAAUUUACGGAAAAAGUAAUCUCACUUCGUACCCCGAAAAUUUAACCACAUAUGUGAAAAUGUCACAGCUUCGAAACGAGCUAUCAUACAUAUCCAAGUUUACGAUAUGUACUGAGCUACAGGAAAAAACGUUACCAUUACCGCCUAUGUAAAACCAAUUAAAGAUAUUGAGCCAUUU